GCAGCAUGAAGAUCCAUUCGCUCACUAUUGCUGCCGCACCGAGCAGCGUCUGUGUGUUGUCUUGUGGUGCAAUUACGUAUGCGGCAGUUGCUGACGGUGCCGAACAGCGUGCGUGCCCUUUCCCAAAGCAAGCAAAACCGUGCUGUUACUCGACAAAAUUGGUUCAACCACGGCAAUUCUUUCCCUUUCCCAAAGAGGAGGCUAUUCGUUACGAGCCUUAUUUCUCUCAUUCCACAGAAAAGCGGAACAUGGACAAGCGCCUACCUGUAGCGUCCGUUCUCUUUGGCUCCCGGUCAACGUGACCGCACCGGAAAUCGAAGCGUCGGACGGUGGCUACGAGGGCCUGUUGACCUCCACUCACCACGACGUCUAGCCAAGUGAUGUCUUCGAGCAGAACGUCAAGGCAUGCACGAUAACCCAGUUUCCAUUGAGCAUUUAUGUUAUAAUGGGCACGCGCGUUAAUCCCACGUGCACGACAGCCAGUGUAUACUAAUGGGCUAAAUUGACUAUAGCAUUCUGUUGCCAUCUGGUUCACUAACAUAUGCACUGUGCCGCGACUACUAUAGGACAGGCCUUUUAUACACGUACGCCAAGCUCCGAUGGUCGGUUGUGCACCAACUUUCUAUAAGCUUAAACGGCGCUGAACCUACGGGACCACAACUGAAUGACGGGUAACUUGGGCGCUGGCUUUCAACAGCUGUUUUGUUCACUAGGAGAAAACGCGUGUAUAUGCGAACAAGGUGACAAAGUGUGAUUGAUAACAAUCAUAUUCUCAAGCUGGGUUUCAUCGAGCAACAAAAUAAAAAGGAACAAAACACUGGCCAUAAACAGGCGUAUAUUAUAAUGCAACCUAUCGGCCGUCGCUAUUUCCACGAAAUGACGCUGUUGUAACUCUAUUAUUCGGUGGGCCACAAGCACAUGGCGUACUUGUCCUACAGACGUAAUCAAAUAAGUAUGUUCUAACAAUAUACAAUGCAAAGCUUGCGCCUGUGCAAACUAGUCGGAAAAGAGUAUGUAUAAAGUUCUUGUAGAAAGCGCAACUACAUUGCAGUAAUUGAACCAACAUAUGCGCGCGGUACAUGGUACUGUGUUCUGCGUCACAUCCUGUAAAUUCUCCUCGGGAUGUUUUUGCAUAUGCCGGGAAUUCAUGAGGGCCCGUUAAACAUGAACUUAAAGCCGUAACGACCGAUCUACGGAGAGGCCGCAACCAUAGAUUGCCACAGAUCACACUAUGUUAUUCCAUGGCUAAAUUAGACUUUCUUUCUUUUUUUUUUUUUUUUUUUUUUUGAGGAACAGGCGGCAAGGGAGCGAGAAUGAUUGCGUGGUGAGGGUACGUUUGACGUUUUUUCCCGAAGAGACAAGAAGCCACUCAUCAUGACAUGCAGGCGCUACUGCAGUCGUCGUCCCUCUUUCUUCACCGGGUCACAAACAGCAGGGUGUACUUCAGGAACGUAGCCAUCGACUUCCCUAAAACGUGGCCACUGAUGAUAGCAGCCCCACGCCAACAGUCGAUCUACUUUGCCAAUAGCGACGUUCCGCAGAGACAGCCAUGGAUCAUUUGUCAAAGAGUCAUGGAGAAUUGAAGAAGGGCGUGGUCAGCUAUACUACUGACCUCAGCUGCUCGACCUCGCAGUACCCGUCAAAACGCAGAACCUAAGCACAUCGUGAAGGGCAUACCUCUAUAUCGACCGUGCUCCUUUGCCUCCUGGUCAGCGUGUUCACUCUGGAAAGCGACGGUGGCUACGAGGACCUGUUGAUCUCCGUCCAGUGCUACAUUGAGCCAAGUGAUGUCUUCGUACAGAACCUCAAGGCGCUACUACAGUCAUCGUCGCAGCUCCUUCACCUGGAAACAAAAGGCAGUGUGUACUUCAAGCACGUGACCAUCGACUUCCCUAAGACGACGUGCGCGGCCAGUGAGAAGCAGCGGCUGACGUUUCAGAUCGCAAUACUGGACCACUUCUCCAAAGGCCAUUGAACAUUCAAGAACUCGAACGGCCGCAGUCAUCGCGGAGACUUCAUUCGUGUGUCGCCGCUACUGGACGGUCACGUAGAAUUUGCCUAAGCACAAGUGCGCCAAUGUUAUAGAACAGCGUGUCCAAAUUAUGAAAUUUGCUGUUUCACCUGAGAUGCUAUCGCGUUCUAAACGACGUUUCUGUUUGGCUAAUGCAUUGCAAGUUGCAGGUAACGCAUUGAAGCACGUGUAGUACGUCGUGCCUGUCACAGUUUAAAUUGCCCCUGAUAGUCUACUUGAAAGCCAGCGGAUGGAGCUGGUGGCGAUUUGCGUAGUUGCCAUGUGCGCACUGCGAUUUCCCUCAAGGAAAGUAUAUAUAUAUAUAUAAUGACGAAAAAGAGUACGACAUACGUUCAAUAAGCAAAGUAUAUUUGACUGACGUUUAGUAACAUGUACAUGCAUUUGGGCUCCCUUAUAAGCCCGCGAUACAUCUUGAUCAAGUUGUGCUCAAUAAUAACAACAAGAAAAAUAUUAAUAUAGUGAUACCACUGGCGAUAGCAAUACCACACACGUGGCUCACAGUGCAGAAAUGUAUCGUUCGUUUACUCAAUAUUACAAUGUAAACCACUUGAAAUGAAGUACAACCUGAAUGUACUAUGCUGACGGGGCUGACGAAGCGAUGGAGGAGGCAGCGUCUGAAUCGCAAGCUGCAACUACGGGUUGCCCGUAUCACGCGAGAAGCGCAGCAGUAGGCCCAGACUAUUACCAGUAACAACUGGAGAGGAUUCUGUGAUCGUCUGUACGGUACACUAGGCACGGCUAAGACGUGGGCUGUUCUCCGAGCACUGAUAGAUCCACCGGGCAACAAAAUGCAGACACGCAAGCGCGUAGACGUUCUUACUCACUAGCUCCAGGACAAUCCCGACCGCCUCGAGCUCGAAACGUGCUUUAUCACAUCAGGCUCGAGCCCUCGAUGCAAUCCGUACCCAUACAUCAAGAAGCCGUCCACCACGCUAGACGCAAAAAUCAUAAUUCAGGAGGUCUGUGCCGUGUUGCAGGACGUCCGCAAGAACUCGGCACCGGGAGCAGACCACACCCGGUACGCGACUAUUCGGAAACCCGGGGGAAACGUAUUACAUAAUCCCCGACUGGUAAGUGACAUAGGGCUUUCUUGACAGGUCGUGGUAUUCCAAAAACUGCGCACUGCAUUCUUUCACGUGCGUCCCAAUUAAGAGCACACAUCACCCACAACAUUCAUCACCUUCCUCACAUAUCGCGAGGUUACACAGCAUUACACACGCCAGCGUCGGCUGUACCGGCCUCCACCGACGUCUUUCCCACUGGAGGAGGCGGUCGCACUUCGCCAAUUGAGACCAAUACAUUUCCCAAUCUCCACUUCCUGCACAUCCUAUACCCCACUCGCUGUUCCGACGCUUGUCCAGGAUGUGAUUUUUCCGCCACCUCCUUGCACGU